UACGUAGGCAGCGAGCGUUGUUCGGAGUUACUGGGCGUAAAGGGUGUGUAGGCGGUUGUUUAAGUUUGGUGUGAAAUCUCCCGGCUCAACUGGGAGGGUGCGCCGAAUACUGAAUGACUAGAGUGUGGGAGAGGUGAGUGGAAUUCCUGGUGUAGCGGUGAAAUGCGUAGAUAUCAGGAGGAACACCGGUGGUGUAGACGGCUCACUGGACCAUAACUGACGCUGAGACACGAAAGCGUGGUAGCAAACAGG
rnacentral:rRNA from 1 species